rnacentral:rRNA from 1 species
UACGAAGGGGGCUAGCGUUGUUCGGAAUUACUGGGCGUAAAGCGCACGUAGGCGGAUAUUUAAGUCAGGGGUGAAAUCCCGGGGCUCAACCCCGGAACUGCCUUUGAUACUGGGUAUCUCGAGUCCGGAAGAGGUGAGUGGAAUUCCGAGUGUAGAGGUGAAAUUCGUAGAUAUUCGGAGGAACACCAGUGGCGAAGGCGGCUCACUGGUCCAUUACUGACGCUGAGGCACGAAAGCGUGGGUAGCAAACAGG